AUCAGGCUAUGCGAGGAGGGAUUAGAUAAAUGCAAGAGAGAGAAAGUUCAUUUAAACACUCUUUUUCUCUCUCCUAACUCUUCCUUAUCUCUUCGCUCUCCCUCACCACUCAAGAAAAAACUAAAUGACCACCACACAUCCACACCAGUCACCGCCCUAAACCACCACCAGCCACCACAAGAGCCACCGUCCCACCCAAAUUCCGGUUGAACUUCAACCGGAAAAUUCAACAUAACCCGCAAAAUUUGCAGAAACGCCCAAAUCACCUUCAAUCCAAAAUCUUUCAAAAUGAACCGCUUUCUAAAUCCUUCCUUAAACACAACUCUUAAACCAAAAUCUCCAAAAACAAACUCAUAUCACCGGAUCGAGAAUCUUACCUAAUUUCAAAUUCUAAAAAAAAUCCAAACCACAACCUAGUUUAACCCACUUCUAAACAUCAUUUUGAAACCAAAAUAAACAAAAAAAAGCAACAUGAGUUCGAGCCAACAGAAAAAAAACGAAUCAAAUCCUAUGUCUCAAAAUAGAUUCAAUCUGGUUCAAAUAAUCAUAACAUCAAGCAUGGCGUCUACACAAACAGGCAAGCAAUAAAAAUAUAAACACGAAGGGAUCAAGAUGUUACCAAUCAAAUAUUACCGAUGUGAAGCCCUUAUAGGUUCUUUUGAUGAUGAUAGGCACGAUUUGAAUGAGCAAGAUUGGUAUAGAGGAAAUUGGUGGAUAUGGCAUGGAAAAGGGUAUUUUGCAUGGUCGUGGUGAUUACUUGAAGGUGGAGAAAAGAUGAGCGUGGAGAAAACUUGAAGCACUUUAGGUUUAGGGAAUUUUGAAGAAGAUUAGAGUUUAUGACUUUUUCUAUGUAAUAAUAACUCCAUAUGUACUAAAGAAAAUUGAAGUAAUGCAAAAGUUCCACUCUUUAUGA